CAGACAAGUAGAUGCACAGGAACAAAGGGGUUGAGGGCCCUGCUCAAUGAGCUUACAUGCUAGAGGGAGUAGGGUAUAGUGACACAAAGGGUAAAAGUAGGGGUAUCAAAGGAGAAUGCUAGAAAAGUAUUCAAUGAGGGCUUAGUAGGUUAUUUUUUACAGUUCCAGGAGAGGAGUCAGGGUGUGGGGAUGAAAAGCUGUAAAAAGUUUAAUUGAUACGCUUUCUGAACAAGUGAGUUUUCAAUUAUUUUUUUGAAGGAAUGGAGACUUGAUGAAUGUCUAACGGAGAAGAGACGGGAGUUCCACAGAAAAGGUGCAGC